rnacentral:sRNA from 14 species
GUCAAUAACCCCACCCUGUUGAGGGAUGGGGCUUGCAUAAACAACCAAUUAUGCGUGUUUGACUAGACCAUUUGAGCCGAAUUUUGGAACGAACGCUUGGAUGCUUCCCCAGUUCAAGUCUCUUCA